UACGAAGGGGGCUAGCGUUGUUCGGAAUCACUGGGCGUAAAGCGCACGUAGGCGGAUUGUUAAGUCGGGGGUGAAAUCCUGAGGCUCAACCUCAGAACUGCCUUCGAUACUGGCAAUCUCGAGUCCGGAAGAGGUUGGUGGAACAGCUAGUGUAGAGGCGAAAUUCGUAGAUAUUAGAUAGAACACCAGUGGCGAAGGCGGCCAACUGGUCCGGUACUGACGCUGAGGUGCGAAAGCGUGGGGAGCAAACAGG
rnacentral:rRNA from 1 species